rnacentral:rRNA from 1 species
UACGUAGGGCGCAAGCGUUAUCCGGAAUUAUUGGGCGUAAAGAGCUCGUAGGCGGUUUGUCGCGUCUGCCGUGAAAGUCCGGGGCUUAACCCCGGAUCUGCGGUGGGUACGGGCAGACUAGAGUGCAGUAGGGGAGACUGGAAUUCCUGGUGUAGCGGUGAAAUGCGCAGAUAUCAGGAGGAACACCGAUGGCGAAGGCAGGUCUCUGGGCUGUAACUGACGCUGAGGAGCGAAAGCAUGGGGGGCGAACAGG